rnacentral:rRNA from 1 species
UACGUAGGGUGCAAGCGUUGUCCGGAAUUAUUGGGCGUAAAGAGCUCGUAGGCGGUUCGUCACGUCGGCUGUGAAAUCCCGAGGCUCAACCUCGGGUCUGCAGUCGAUACGGGCGGACUGGAGUACUGCAGGGGAGACUGGAAUUCCUGGUGUAGCGGUGAAAUGCGCAGAUAUCAGGAGGAACACCGAUGGCGAAGGCAGGUCUCUGGGCCACUACUGACGCUGAGAAGCGAAAGCAUGGGGAGCGAACAGG